rnacentral:antisense_RNA from 1 species
GCGGCAGUCGGGACCAGGAGAAUCGGACAGAAACCAGCCUCAGAGUCCGGGGCAGGAGCCGUUGACGGCCGCCCCUCAGCGCUGCGCUUCGGGUUGGGUUAAGUUCCCAAGGCGUCCUCAGACCACGGCGGAGCUUCAAACGCCCCAGUCCCGAAGACAGGCAGGGGGUCCCUCUGCUUCGCAGGGAUGACAGGCUGGCCCCGACGACCCCGGCCCCGUCCCGCCGCCCUCACCCGCUGAAGAGAUCGGGGAGAUCGAAGAAGGUUCUAGAAAGUCUCCGUGGACGACGGGCGCCGGGCGGCCGCUUACCUUGGUGUACUUGAUUUCGAGAUUGGGCGUGGGCGACGGCAGGAGGUGCAGGGACGCCAUGAGGGCGGCGGGGUCGGCCUUCACCUCGCCGGGCAUCUCUAUCUUGCUGGAAGUCAUGGUGGCGGGCCGGGUGUCCCUAGCCCGCGGCGUGGGGCAGUGCGGGCUGUGCGCGCGGUCCGCGGCCCGGGGGCGCGCUCGCCUGUAUAUAGGUGUAAACCAAGAACCUAGAGACCCUGCCUCAGAAUGGGCUUUGGACUCCGUGGACUAAAUCAAGGCCGCAUGGAAAGACCUGCAUAAGUCCCUUCCCUUCCUUACUCCUUACUCCAAAUGGACCCCAGGAGACUAUUUUAAACAUGGGAACUAGAUUUGCCUUUGUUGUAAAGCCCAGUUCCAUUUCGUAUAUGUUCGAGAAGCUUCAAUUUGGGUACUGGGAUGAGCGCAAUACUUCAUCAAUAAUCACACUUAACAGACAGGAAGAAAUUAAAAUUCCAGCUACACCGCCUUUUCUGAAGGGCCUGCGGGAAAAGGCAUUGGCGCCCCCUGCAGUUGAUGGUGUGUAUGUGCAA